rnacentral:rRNA from 1 species
GGCCUGUUGAUUAUAAUUUCAGGUCUAACCUGCCCUAUGAAUAGUUAAAUGGCCGCGGUAUACUGACCGUGCAAAGGUAGCAUAAUCAUUAGUUUUUUAAUUGAAAGCUUGUAUGAAAGGUUUGAUGAGGAAAUUUCUGUCUCUGUGGAAAUUUAUUAGAAUUUUAUUUUUAAGUGAAAAAGCUUAAAUUAUCAUAGAAGACGAGAAGACCCUAUAGAGUUUAAUAUUUUGUUAAGUUUUGAAUUUAUAGGUUUUAAUUUUUUGGAAUUUAAUAUAGUAUUUUAUUGGGGUGAUGGGAAAAUUUAAUAAACUUUUCUUUAUAAAAACAUUUGUUUGUGGAUUUAUGAUCCUAGUAUUUAGAUUAUAAGAUAAAAUUACCUUAGGGAUAACAGCGUAAUCUUUUUUAGAGUUCUUAUCGAAAAGAGGGGUUGCGACCUCGAUGUUGGAUUAAAAUUUAUUGUUGGUGUAGAGGCUGGCACAUUAGGUCUGUUCGACCUUUAAAAUUUUACAUGAUCUGAGUUUAAACCGGCGUGAG